rnacentral:lncRNA from 1 species
GGGACGACGGGAUAAAAAUUUAUCCGAGGGAAACUUCAAACUGCCAGGCUUCAUAAGAGAGUAGAGUGGACUCCUUCAUUGGGAUGGAUAUUCCAGGAUAGAAACAAUGAAGGAAUCCAUUCAAUUUAUGCGAAGCUUAGUAUCUCUUUGUGUCAAAAUGUUGGAGAACUAACAAAAAAAAAACAAAAAAACUUCUGGGCUGCCUUCAUUUUGACCCUCCUCCCAGCCUGAACGCAACCCCUUGAACUAGUUGAACUUUAGGUUGUCUUGGAGAAAAAUGUCUGCCACAUCUAUUAUCAAAAUUUGGAUUCGUUCCGUGCUGCCAUCAUCACAGCGUGGUACUCCAUGGACACAACCUUCAUCGUCAAGUACUAUCAAUCUGUUUGCCGGAGUGUCUAGGCUAUUAUUAUUUGGGAAGGAGGUCAUAUUGAAUGAAAUAUAUAUUAAUUAUUUAUCACAAAUUGCAAUAAUUAAGUGUUCAUUAAUUAAUAAUUUAUUGAUUCAUUUAAUUAUGAGGAUGCUUCAAAAGUUAAUAUUCAUUAUAUGAACACAACAUAGUAACAUGGAGUUUGAAUCUUUUAGUGUUGUAGUAAUUUAAAUAAAUUAAAUAAUAAACAAA